UGCCGUUUUCUUUUUUUGAUAAUCAAUAAUGUACAUGCGGUUUUCUUAUCCAUGAGAUUAUGCUUAUCUGUGUAAAGUAUUCGGAUUUUUAAAUGUGUCAACUGAAUCCUGACAUUUUGUAUUGUUUAAUGAUUGUGCCACAAAUUUUGUAUAUUCGAUUUCUUAAUUCUCACGCCAUAAAGAUGAUAUAUUUGCUUCCUUAUAUUUCGCGUCAUAAAAUUUGAUUAUGUGCGUGUGAUUUUCAAGAUUGGUGUAAACUAUUAUAAUCUUCGCACUUUUUUCAAAUCCAGACGCCACGUGUUGUUUUGUUACUCAUGUAGUACAAUUGUCAUGUCAUUAUACGGUUUUUUUUUUUUUGUGAGUGAGAGUAAAAGAACUAAACCCUAAAAAUGUGUCUAGCAUACAUUUAAGAGGUGUUAUAAUAAACUCAUGUUUGUUUGGAAACUUUGCGGAAUUUAGACGCCAAUAUUAUGAUUAUCAUCGAUCUACUCAUGAGUUCAGCCCAAAAUUAGAAUAUAUGAUCAUGGUCUCAUCAUAUGGUAGUUCAAGUGUAAAGAAGCGAAAACCUCUCAACACUAGCCGUAGCCACUAUGGGCAUCUCCAACAGCUUCUCCAUAAUGUUUCUAUAAUGGGGAAGCAAAAGUCAAUGUUUCAAACAAUUUUUCUUCUCCAAUUCCAAUAGAGAUUUCAUGAUCAUUCCUCAAAUCAUUCCCUAAAAUUUGAGAGUUUGCUUCAAAUAGUUUUCUCUCUCAUCGCAUUCCCCAUUUUGGAGAAAGUUUUAAGGAAUCUGUUAGGGCAAAACAACCAAAAUCUUCCUCAAAAUUGAAAAAACCAAAAAUAUGAAGAAACUGUUAGAGUUACUCUAAGACUACAGCCUGGCCUAUCAAUCUAGCUUCUCAACAUCUUAAAUUUUCUCAUGAUGUUACCAUGUCUUCCAUUGAUACAGUUACAACAAGCCUUGUCGGUUCCCUAGCACAAGGAUAAGGCAGCGCCACUCCCGACCUUGGUAAGCUUGGGAGGUCCUAUUAGAUGCUCAAUCAUUCUUGGUGAAAACUUUCUUUUCCUGCAAAGCAAAUGAAUUGGGUUUGAUCGAGACUAGCCUGAAAACAACAACAAUCACUCUCAAGGGGAAGAUUGGCAAACCUCCAAUAAGAACAAGAAUCCUAAAGGGUAUUUAAGACUGUGUUCAUCCUCUGUGCAUCACAUAUCCUAUUGCAUGUGAAUGAUGUGAUGAGAAGGCUAACCCUCAUGCCAAGGGAAAAGACACAAUGUAGUCUUCGGUUAUGUGAGCCUUAGCAUUGGGAUUAAGCAAUAUUACAUGAUUCUUAGUUUAUUAGGUGUAUAACAAUUGAGGUUUUAGGUUACUAGUUUUAUUUCAUCAUAGAGUUAGGUAUUGAUGGGGUUUGUUUUCCUUUACUUGAGGCUCUAUUUUGAGCUUAUGUACGUGUAAACAGUGGGGCCGAACAUGAUGCUUGUUAGCAUCUGGUUAAUAUAUUUUACAAGAGGACGUCAUAUAACGUUACAUGCCUUUAGGCCAUUAACAAAGCAAUAUUGUUAUUUACUUUUUGUAAAAAAGAGUCGGACUGUGGAAAAUGUGUUAAAGACAUUAGCUUGCUAGGGGUCGAGGACAAGACAAGUAAACAUUAAAAUUUAGUUUACCCUUCUAAGGUUUAGGAGUAAUUACAUUUUAGUCUCUGUUCUCUUAAUUUCUUAAGGUCCAUCCAAAUUGGACGUUAAAUCCGAUUGGAUACAUAAUAUAAAAGCUAAAAUGGUUAUUUCAGAAAAAAAAAAAACAGAUUUAUAGUGCUGGUCUGCUUGAAAUAUUUUUCUUGAAAUGAUCAUUUUACUACUCCUUAUAGUAGAGCUUCCCCGACAUCUGAUUUAACAUCUAAUUAGGAUGGAGCUCAAUGAAUUGAAAUAAAAUUGAAAAAAUACUGAUUAAUUUGAAACUACGGGACUAACAUGUUGUUGACCUCAAACCUCACCUGAGAUAAACUAGAUUUGAUCUUUUAACUAAUAUCUCUUCGCUCAGAAAAUAUAGCCUAUACAAUCAAACAUGACCUUUGAUACUUGCAGUUUCCUUAUCUACAUGCAUACAUAGACAUCUACAUCGAUCUUUAUAUAUUCUUCACUGUCAAUAUGUGACAAAGAAUUUUGAAGUGUUUUAAUUUCAACACUCGAAGUUACAUAUAAUAGUAAAUCUAAUGGUGGGUUACCACAAAGUUCAGGCAAUCCAGCAAGGUACAAACAUGAACUCAAAGGGCUAACUUCAUCAAUAUUAGAUUCACAGGGACAAAGUCGAUCACAAUACCACACUAAUCUGCUCAAUACUGCAGAACAAUGCAUUCUUGUGUCCGGGACACCAUAGCAUGACGGGAGCUUUUGUUAGUGUCAAUGACUUCUUUCAUGGGGGCGAGGCUUCACAUCUGGAUCACCACCAUAAGCAAUGGCUCCAAUUAUAAGAGCAUUCACCUCUUUGAACCUCUCUUCCGAUAGAGAGACCUCGGCAAGGAGCUUCCAAGCAUUUUCAUCAGAUGCCUCAUCAUAGUCCUUCUUCCUCUUCAACACCAUAUGUCCACUAAUUUCCCACACAGCUGGAUUCACCUGAGUAUCCAGAAGCUCUGCCCUAACUUCCCCAAGAGCUUGUUUCUCAGCAUAACACUGUGGCAAGAGAAAGAUCCGAUUUCCGAAGUCGGAUAUGAGGACAUUGUAAGCAAUGUUGUUCUCUUGAAGGCAAAUGCAGGCAUCCGAGACAGAGUUUGACAAAUCUUCCAGAGUAUUUCCACCCUCGAAAACUAGACCUCUAACAGGAUAGUUCACAAGCUCAGAGAUCUUCACCCCAACAUCCAAACUGGUUAUCUUAUUGGUAGGAGCCUUUUCUAUGGGAAAGGUUAAGGCCAAGUAGUAAGCCUGGAAAUGAAGGUGAUUGAUGGUAGCAAAUGCACCCAAGCUGUUGUAACCUAAUCGGAAGUAAGGACUCCCUGCUUCUGCCGCCAUGUGAAGUGCAAGCAAGAAGCUCUCACGAUCAAUCCUUUGUGGCAAAGACUCGAGAAUACGAGGAAUCAACAACACAUGCCCAUAUUCAAUUGGACUGACAUUGAUGGCAACAACGCUAGGAGAUGUUGCUAUAUCAAUAGGUGCAUUAGGGUGAAACUGAACUUCACCAUCUUCACUCGCUUCAAACUGGAACAAAACUUCUUCUUGGCCAACUUUACUGAAGUUGAACUUGGAUCCAUCAAAAGGUUGGAGGACCUUGUCAACUCGAAAUUCGGUUGGUCUCUUCUUGAGGUGGCGACCCUCAUUCAGUUGAGCAAUGAAGCCAAACUGGCCCGGGAUCAUCUUGGUUUCACAGGCGGUGACGUCGUAUCGAAACAGGCCUUUCUUCAUACGAUCAUCCCACUCUCCAAGAACCAAUGAGUCAAGAAAAGCAACAGGAGCCUCUUGUUUCUUCUCAUCACCAGGUGAGUUUUCUCGCUUCUUGAAAGCAUACAAUGGAAGUUUUGCUCCUGGAAGGCAACAUUUGUUAAGGCAAUUGCGGCCGCAACCCCCAACUCGGCGCCCCUCAUCCGCCUCAUCAUUCUGGUAAUUAGAAACCACAGUAGGAACUUUCUUGAUCUUCAUCAUCAUCACUCUUUUUUUUGUCUUCUUGUUCUUAAUUUCUUAAAUGGGUUUUAAAGCAGAAGUCAUUUGUUUAGGGUUAUCUUAGCUUGAAGCCCACGCUUUUCUCUUUUCCUAAUGAGACAAGGAAUUCUUUUCCAAUUGGGACAAGGAACUUUUCCAGUUGGGACAAGGAAUUCUUUUCCUAUUUGAGAUCGGUAUCUCAAAUCUAUAUAACUAGUACCAAUCCCACUGCUUACCAUCUAAUAUAGUUUCCUUUUUCUCCACUCCUAUAUCCCCAUUCCCCAGUUCCCCACUGCUAAACUCAUCUUUAUAUUUCUCUUUGUCUUUUUGAACAUGGCGAGGACCAUGUCUCACCCAUUGAAUUACUGGAGGAAUUACUUUGGAACUGCGAAAGAUUCAAAUAUUUUCAGUAUAAUAGAUCAUGCAAUCAAGGUGGCCGCUUCUGAUCAUCCAAAAGACUUCAGUUUGCAAAGGGACAGAAUAGUUGCACGAUUGUCUUAUAUUCAGUGUUUGGGCAGUGAUGAAGAAUCGGGUCAUGGUGGUUGCAAAAGUGGAUCUGAUAGCCAUGGCUGUGAAGGACUACUUGAGGCUGAUUUUAGUAAAGAGAGUAAUGCAAGUGAUGAGGCCGAUCAGGUUUCAACUGAUCAGCAGGCUUCUCAAUAUAUUGAUGGAGAGGUCUUGAAGAUCAAGGAAGCUCUUCAAAACAGUGAUAAGGAAAAGGCUGAUGAGGCUUCAAUGCUCGAGUCUUUGACGAGACUGAAGAUGAUGACUAUGACUGUGGAGACUCUGGAGGCAACCGCAAUAGGUAAGGUUGUUAGUGGUCUCAAAAAGCAUGGAUCGAAGCAGAUUCGUGAUCUUGCUCGAACACUUGUUGAUGGGUGGAAAGUCAUGGUAGGUGAAUAUUUAGCUACCCAAAGUUCUGAACAACAGUCCUCUCCAGAUGUUCUUGCCAUACAGAACAAGAAUGAACCGGAAGUGAAGAACAAGAAACAACAAGUUGUAGCUGUGAAGCCAAAUAAGGCAGCAAACAACAAUGAAAGAAAGAUGCUGUGCUUGAAUGAUGAAGUUGCAGUGCAAGCGAAAAUCGAAGGCACAAAAAGGAAACUCCAUGAGAGUUAUGAGAAAAUUGAGAAAACCAAGAGGCAAAGGAUGGUACAAGUCUUGAAUGAGCUCCCCAAGCAAGAGCAAAAGGUUGGCUCGCAUGCUACUAAUCGAGAUGGAAAGAAACCAGCUGGUUCAGCACAAGGGCGGAUAUCCAAUAAGUUGCUCAAAUUAAAGAAGCAGGCUAGUUUGAUCUGCAAGUAAUAAGACAUUCCUGUACUUCUGAUAGUGAAUGAGAAACACUUUCUGCAAAUAUUCUCUCUGAGGUUUUACUCUGAAAUACAUUAGUAGGAUUUGCCCUCUUUUCACUGCUCCCAAAUGAUGUAGCCAUUUUAGGUUUCGAAACUAAUACAAUCGAUCUGCACCAGGAUUUUAAAUCCAUGGCUGCCUGCAGUUAUCAUCUCAGGUCUGUUUGUUGUCGACACACCAAUGACACCGUUGCUCAGUCGAAUUCCACUUCAUAGCUUUGGCAAGAUAGCAUCUGAGCAGUGAACAUGUAUGGAGGCUUUCAAGCACAUAUAUUAGACCCAUAUUCUGAUUUGCACUCUGUAAAGCACAUAUAUUAGACCCAUAUUCUGAUUUGCACUCUGUAAAGAUAUUUCAAAUUCAAUGAAACUUAUACAAGUCAGAAUUGCUUCAUAAAGCUUUGAUCUGUAUAUGUUCCCUCAUUUAUAGCAUGGCUUCUUAAACUCUACCAGAAAUUAUAACACCUUUGCCUGAUCGAUGUAAAUGUCAAAUCUUUAAUCUGCACUUACAAACAAUUGGUAUAAACUACAAUAACUACCUUCAGGUUUUUCUUACUGAUGCAAUAAAGAGCAAAUAUAUUGAAAUGAAGGACCAUAAUUCAAAUGGGUAAAUCAACUGCUUCAAUUCCUUUGUAACAGUGGAACAGUAUACAGUGAGAUCCUAAUUUAUCUAAGUGAUCACAUUAGGUUAGUUUCCACAAUACCCAUAAAACUAUAUGACAAAAGUGUGACACAUAUGAAACAACUCAUCUUUCACAGUCAAGGCGUACAUCAAUACAAUUUAAAACUGAAGUGUUAGAAUCUGGUUGCCAAUCAGCCCCGCAGCCCCAUCCUCCGUCUGUCUGUCUGUGCAAACACCCUGCAGGAGCUUAUCUCCACUACUCCUGUCGUAAUUUGCAAAAUGGUACAGGUAGCACGGCUCGAGAGCAUCCAAUCAAUCAAAAAUGCAUUUACAUCAUGGAGAUAUGCGAAACCCCUAGGUCCAGUAAUUAAUUCCUUGCAUGCUCAGGGAUGAGACGAUGUCUGAGUUCAGUGGAUGCACCGGCCAAUUCUGCAGAGCAUUUGACAUCAGGAUUAAGAGAAGACUUAAAACCCCUUUAAAUCAACAAUGUCAGAGGAAUAAUCCAAUAGCUUACCUUGAGCUGUGAAAUCGAACAAAGGAGGUACUGCCCGUCCAUUAGGCAAGCUUACAUUUGGGUCUCUCAAAUCAUCAAAGAAAGGGUGCGCACAAGCCUCUAACUGAAACAAGAAACAAACAAAAAAUUAGAAGGAGAAAAUGCAUCUGAAACAAUCAAUCAUAAUAAAUCACUGGAAUGUAUGAACAUUCAAAUUCUCAUUUCAAACUGAAUGCCUCCAAACAUCUGAUGGCAUAUAACCAUACAUGCAUGGCAACUAAGCAACUGAAUGCUAAGGCACAACAUCAACACAUCAAGUCUUGAAUUGCACUCUUAACAUUACUUCCCAAGGGUUGAAAAAAGGUCAAGAUUUAUAAUAUCUUAUUUGGGAAAGGAAAGACAAAUCUUAUACCAAGGCAACUACAUAUUUCACAAGGUACUGAAAAAAAUUAUUAAAAGCGAUAUAUUUUCUUACAGCAGUGCAACGCAGAUUUGGUGAAUACUGGAGCAGCCUUGACACAAGAUCCACAGCUUCAGGGGGCAUUCGCUUAUGGAAUAUCUGAAGGUUACAAUGAGCACAGUAAGAUUCUCUGCUGAUGACAGUUAGUGAAAAGUUGACCAUAGAUACUCUAAAUUAUAAUACUGGACAAACCUUAUGCCAAGGAUGAGCUUUAAUUUGAGGAAACUUGAACUCAGUAUAGUUUGGAUUCAUGCACUUAAUUUCUUCUCUGGUUGGUGUUCCAAGAAUCUAGUAUGAUUCCAGAAAAAAUGAACUUAGAAUGCAAAAUAGCAAAGUUAUCACCCGAACAUGUAACAUCACAUAACACCCCAUACCUUUAUGAUUUCCACCAGCUGAUCAACACCACUCUCCCCAGGAAACAGUGGCUGCAUUGUUACAAAACCCAGUGUAAAUGAGAUAUGGUCAAGUGUUCCAAAAAUUGAAAACAAAGAAAAAAGUAACACGAGAUCAAAAAAGUAAAAAAGUGCAUAAGGUAAUGAAAUAGAGAAUUUCCUGCCCAAAACCCCUCCCCCGAAUGCAAAACUAGCAGUUAGGCAUUUUCUUUUAAAACCUGCACAACUUAGAUAUAAACCUUGACAACAAAUAUGAGCUCACCUGCCCAAGAAGAAGUUCAGCAAAUACGCAACCAACAGACCACAUAUCAAUUGCAGUUGUAUAUUCUGUUGCCCCGAAUAUGAGUUCUGGAGCUCUAUAAUAUCGCGAGCAAAUAUAUGAUAUGUUGGCUUCACCUGGUACCUGAAAUUAGAAAAUAAAAAUUCAUGAGUACCAGAUAUCAUCUUUUUUUAAAUUAUUAACUAAGUUUUAACAUGUUCCUAAAUAUCAUCAGUCUCUUCCAAUUCACAGGAUAGUAGACAUACCAGCAUCUUUGCACUCCCAAAAUCACAUAUCUUAAGCUGAUGAGUGUGGGGAUUAACCUGCAAUAUGCAACAGAACCGGAAUCUUCAUAUAGUGACUUAUGGAACAAUCUCAGAACGACUGAACCAGAUAAUGAACAUGCAUUCUUAAUUCAAAUAACUCUAUCUAUCCAAAUUUUGAUGAUAACUCAACCACCAGCCCAAAUAUUGUGUGGGUAUCCAUCCCUUUCGUUUCAUUAGAAAUUCUUGGUUUUGACUCCAGAGAAAUUGUUUAGUUUUUUGUUUUUCUUCUCUGGUCUGAACUUACAGAGUGUCUAGUGUAGCUAUAUUUUUGUUUUGAAAUGUGUAACUAAAUUUAUAUAGGUCAGACUUGUGUGAAUGCUGGAAACUAAUUGCGGUUCAUAUGUAUCGCCAUUAAUAUCAGAAAAAUAAAAACCACAAGAAUAUCUUACCAGCAAAUUCUGUGGCUUAAUAUCACGAUGACACACACCAACAACGUGGUGCAAGUAAUUUAACGCCCGACAAAUCUACAGGAGAGAAAACGUGCAACUUAAUAUCCAGAGUAGGCAUAAGAAUAACCCCAUAACCAACAAUUUACGAGAUAAAAGGAAUCAGCAGAAGGUAUCCAAGUCACCUGGUACGUGUACAACUGCACAUAAAUAAUGGGAAUAUGUUGGUUCAUCCGGACAUAAUGCUUUGACACUCUGUAAACAGUCUCAGAUAUAUACUCAAGGACAAGGUUAAGGUACAGCUCGUCCUUUUCAGUAGUUGAAAAGAAACAAUGCUUCAAUUGAACAACAUUGGAAUGGUCCAGUAAGCGCAUGAUCUGAAGUUCCCUAUUUUUAUAUCUUUUAUCCUGCAGCACCUUUUUUAUUGCAACUGCUUCACCUGUUUCCAGACACUUGGCCUGCAGAACAAAGUAUAGUGAGAAAGAGAAGAGAUUGAAUCGAAUAUGUCGGUGAAAAGAGAGCCAACAAAACCUAUAACAAACACAUGGAAAUAAUCCUAGGUACCUGAAAGACGACUCCAAAAGAACCAGUGCCAACUACGCACUCUGCCAUAUAAGAGAUUGUCUGUAACCAAAUAGAAGUAUAACGAUAUCAAUAAUAGUUCCCAUAUAAGAUAUAUCAAACCAAUGGCAGUUAGAUGAACCAAAGAUUCAAGAGACAAACAAUCAUGCAGAGAGAAGUUAAAAUCCAUUUUGUUAAUAUGAAGCUCAAAUUUUAUUAACACAUAGAAUAGAAGGGGACAUGGUGUACUGUCUUCUAACAUAACAAGCUUAGCAUCAGCUACAAAACAACAGUUCUCUAGUCAAAUAACUAGCAUGAACAAAUCAAUCUGUAAACUCCAAGAAAACCAAGACAGAAAAAUAUGCCCAAAUGCGAACUCUAUAGUAUAAAAGAACCUCUUUUAUAAUAGACUAAAUUCAUUUGACAUUAGAACUUUGCAGUAUGGUUUCAUUAAAGUUUUCAAGAUCCUAUAAAUUUCUUCAUUUAUAAUAGAAAUGAAGUCACCUGUUUAGGCUGUCCAUUUCGACCGCCUACUGUCGUAGCAAUGAUAUGGCCUGUCUCCGUUCCAUUACCACUUAUGAUAGUUUCUUCCAUAUCCUGUUAAUGGAAAUUUACAACAAUUAACUUGGUGACCAAUCCUGUUAUGGUUGUUGCAAACUUUGCCUCACACUUAAAUAGCAGUAUAAUUAAUACAUUCGUAUAUAUACAAGAAGAGAAAAGAAAUUUAAAAUUCUAAAAAAAUUUACCUUUUCAUCAUGGUUGUGGACAUCUCUGAUUUUCAUUUGAUGCAUAUCUUUUGGGAGUUGAUCAACAGUUGAUUUUUCUUCUUUGGCCUCUAUCUUAGCUAUGGAAGACGCACUGGACGUGCUUGCAGCAGAUUCCAUUGAUGUUGAUUUUGUAUUCUGAUCAGUGGCACUUCUCUCAACACCAUUUGACUGUCCAAUAACCUUCUUUUCAGUUUGUUGAUCAAACUUUGAUCUCUUUGAGCUGGAAUCACCACCCUAAAAAAGAACAAAUCUUAUAAGCGAUGUCCUGAGUAAAUUUAAAAGUUGAAUCCAAAAUAAAAAAUAAAAAAUAAAAAAACUCCUAUAUUAUCUCACAGCUAUAAUCAUAAUCGAGGUAUCUAACAUCCACGAUUUGGAGAAUAGAAGGUUCCUAAGUAUGGGGGCAGCAUUAACAUGAAACGUUUGAGACUUAAAUUCACUUUUCGUACAAGGCAAAACAAUCAAUUGGAUAUACCACAUUGCCAAGUUCAUAUAAUCAACACAAUCUGUCAAUUACUCCAUAAAAAUAUGAAUACGCCAAAUAAACUAGUGCAUGAUGAUCCUAUAGACAUGUAUAAGUAAUGUGCACACAGACUGAACCUCCAAAGAACAAAGAUCGAAUGCGACAGAAAAUACUCCUCAAAAUCCACACAAAUGCACAAAAAUCCAUACAAAUUUUCAGAUAUAGAGCAAACCUAAUCCUUUCCUGGAAGAGAAAAUAUACACACGAACACACACAUAUACACCAAAAACAAAGUCAUAUUAUUUAUUCUAUAAUCCAGAGCAAAAAUUACAAAACCAAAACCUUUCCUGAAAAUCCAAGCUCCGAGCAAUCAAAGCUUACAAACACCGAGACUUACCGGGUCGGACGAAACGGAGCUCCGGCCCGAUGCAAUGCUCUUGAGCCGACGCAUCAUAUUCAUCUUCACCUUGUUCGUCUUCAAUUCCGCUAUCCAAACCCUAAUUUGCUUACAAAAGAAGAGAGAGAAAUGCACACGCCUUCCUCUCUCUCCUCCUCCUCCUCCUUCUCCUCCUAAUUUCCUCCUUCCUUUGAUUCAAAACCGCCAAAAAAAAAUCUACAAAAUCAAAGGAAGAAGAAACAAAAAAAAGAAACUCACAGAGCCUCUCUCUCUGUCUUCUCUCUCUUAUUUCCCUCUUAAGAUUUCGUUUCUCUCUCUAGAAUUACUUUUUCUCUCUAAUUUCUCUGCCCUCUGUUUUUAGCUGUUUUCUCCGGUCAAACUUUGGACCGUUGAAAAAAGAGAAACGCCCAUUCCAGCCUUUCGCUGUUUCUUUAUUACACACCUCCAGUCAAACAAGGACCAUCCAGCCGUCGGUUGCGUGUGAUUGGGGAACGGACGGCGUGAGUUUGGGGUUGAGUGGAUGAGGGGGCGGGUGGGGAAUUACGAAACUGACCUUGAGGGGGACAGGGGCUGGAAUGCGUACGGGAUAUUCGGGGGGGGUUCUUUUUGACCGGUCGUUUGGACGGUUUGUUUUUCGCGGUCAAGUUUUUAGGGCUUUUGUUUUUCAAGUUACUUGGGAUCUAAUUAAACCAACUGCUGGCUUGAGAAUCGGUCUCUGACCAAAGACGAUUAGCUGUUGAAACUUGUAAAAUAUUGCCUAAGUUUAGACAUGAGUUUUGGUCGCGGCAAUCCAUUAUUUAGCGACGAAAAUCAGUUCAAGUAUCGUCGUACUUUAAGAGUCGUGUAGCGGAAAAGAGAGGUGUUAAGUGUAAUUUGCUUUGCUUUCUUGUAGCCAGGUUUUGAGGGGGAGAGAGCACUGAGAAUGUGUGUGGCAAUGAUGGCUAUGUGAAGGGGCGGUGUUGGUGUGAUGAUGGAAGUGCUUUUUGUUGUUAUAAAAGGAACAUUUUCAUUUGUUUAUGGCGUAAGAUCAGUGCUAGUUGAUGAGGUUGUAGUGGAUUCAAAAGAGAGGGGGGAGGUUGUAGUGCUUUCAUACAGAAAAAUGUUCAACCCAAAGUUCAUUUGGGACUUGGAUAUUGAAGAGUUGAGCAUAAACUGUCCCAAAUUAGGUGAUGAUUUUAACGGGAAAAUAGAUGUAAUAAGCAAAAGUUAAGUGAUCAUUUUGUGUUUCAAUUGUCCAACUUUAACUUGACUGGUUUAGAAUUAAAUUAGAUUCAUCCGAAAUGAAUCUGAGAAUUUCUGCUUGAACUAUCCCAAAAACUAGUUAACGAAGUGAACAAACUUGGAGUCAGUAUCAUAUGAAUGUCAUUCUAAAAUGUAGCUGAAAGUGUUGCAUAUAUAUGAAAUCAUUUAACAAAUAUAAAUGAGGAAGUAAACUCUCUUACUCUCAAGAUCAUGAAAAUCGAAUGUUGAAAUGAACACACAUUUCUUAAAUUCAAGAAUGGGUACUUUAUGUUUGUAUUUGAUAAUGAGUGAAUAACAUCAAAUAAGUUUCAGUGCUAUACAAAUAUCCAAGAAUGUGUACAACUUGUUUCAACUGAUGAUGUAACGAUGCUACUUCAACGGAUUAAACAAUAUAUACUAAUGUUAUAAAUCCAGCAUAAUAAGAUAACAUAUUUUUAAAAUUUAAAUAAAAUUAAAUAAAUCGUAAGAUGUAUAAUAUUCGGUAAGAGAAAUCACAAAUAGUUAACAUUCGUAAUAAGCGUCAAAUCAUGACAUCGAAGCCUUCUAUAUAUUUUAUUCAUCCAAUGCUUACAUCAAGUUUGAACUUCAAGCUUUGAAUCCAACAAGUCUAACUACCAUUAAAGAUUGCAAUUGGUUUUCAUAUUCAAACCAUAGUUGGCAAAGCUUAAAAAUCACUUGUUUGAAUUUCAAGUCUUGAGACUCGUAUUUGGCAAGUCAGUUGGAUUUGGGUUUAAUAAAAAUACCCGAAGAGAUUUCUAGGCCCAUUAGAUAUACUGUUCUUUCUAACCAACUUGAAGCCCAAUUAAGGGAAACAUUGACUCGGUUUCUAUGGAUGCAACAUGCAAAUGAGCUCACUCAUACCAAAGAGUUUCAGUGUCCAAAGUCCAAACUGAAAGGUUUCCCUUCACUUUUACCUAGAAGACUACUAACUACACCCACCAUAGUAAAUAAUGUUCUAUCGAGGAAGGUUUCCCUUCCUAGUUAGUGAAUGAGCAUAACUUUUCUUAAUUAGUUACUAACCAUGUGAAUACCACUAAUCACAAGAAAACUCGACUUUAUUAGCCACCAAAUGAAACACAUAAGGUGUAACAGCCGAAUAUACUACAUAAUGAAUCAUGAUAAGAAGUCGUCGACAAACAAGCCAUCAAUUGUUCGAAGUCGCAUGCUAAAAAGAAGCAUGCGGUGGCGCAUGGUCAGAAGUUCGAUCAAGACCUGAUUUGCAGUUUCUCUAUUGUAAUGAGAGACUUUACACAAUUACACAACUUGAAGUUUCUUCCUCUUUCUGGAUUUGGUAAUGCACAAGAACAGGGCGGUCUUUUACGUCCAUGAGAAACUCAUUGAUCAAAUUAGGGCCUAUUCCUGCCUGGCAGUGGCCCUACUUAUCAAUUCAAUAAUUCACCAAAGUGUGCUCAAGUUACAAACUUCACAAACCAAGCUCUGUUUCUCACUUUUCUCGUAUUGAUCUCAUCAUGUACCCACCGACCUCUCACUUUCUCAAUCAAAGCUCAAGGAAGGGAAAAAAGACUUUUCUUGUAUCUAUAUACCAUCCAUAUGCAUAACAUCAACCAAGGUCAAUUUAAGUGCUACUUUGCAUUUUACCAUAUAGGCCGACAUAAAAAAUUAAAACAAACAUCUCUACGAAGUGUAUUUGAAUUAUAUGUUACGUAUAACAAAUUCUUGAAUUCAUCGAAUCUACCACAUAUAACCAGUGAAAUUUUGUGUCUCGUAGUCUCUUAUCCAUCGGAUAUGGCCUCUAAGAGUCUAUCAGGACCAUAUACCUCUAGCAGUUGCAUAAUGAAGUGAACCUCUGGUUGAAAGGAUCUUUUGCUAGGUUGGCCAACUUCACACUUUGCCAUGCUCAUCCAUUUAGGGUUUUGGAAAACAUUAUAUUGGGUAGUGAUGAUCCUCAUAAUGAAAAUGAUAUAGGCAGCUCCAUCGAUCUCAUGCGGCAGUGUAAUUAGGCAAUGAAUAUGAUCAACGUGAGUAGGUCAUUGUGUGCUAUAUAGGGUAAUAAUGUGGAAUGAAGGAAAUUGAGUGUAGCAGAAAACAUGUACAUGUUUCCAUGAUUAAGCAGAGAAAAGCUAACCAGAUCAACCUAACUCAAAUAUUCCAAAACACUUUGAGUUGGGGAAUAUAAUUAGGGAAUGCUGGCUUAUGUGACCUUUUGGUAACUAAGAUGCUUCAUCAUUCAACUUAAAAUUACAUCAUUAGCAUGCUAAAUAGAGCCUAGCCGCCUUAGGAAAUAACUUUUUUUUUAUAAAUUAAGAUGUUUGAUGAAAUGUCUUAAAAUUUGCGGCUCACACAAAUAAACAUAAAGGAACGAACAACAUAGUGAGAUUGCUGACAUUUCAUCCCACUCUUAUCGUUGAUUAUGUACGUGGUGAUGCACAUAGCAGAUUGUCAAUCGAUCUCUUUCAGAUUUAUGCUCGAUCAGUCUUCUGCCACAGUGGCCAGUACAUGCACACAAUUUGUUGAUUGAAACUGCUCAAAUUUAAAGGACAAAGUAUAUAUGAACAUACACACUGUUCUUGUUUCAUAUUUCUGGUAGCGUGAAAGUCGUUUUCCACUGAUUGAAUUGCUAAGGUUGCUUUACUAGCUUAUAUGGUAAAAUGGUCCCUCCAGGACUUCACAGAGUGAACUAUUGAAUUCACAUCAAUAUGAACAUGACCCACUUCCCCCAAAUAAUAGAGAGCAGAGUUAAGCUCAAAGCAUGUUAGCUAGUACUACGUAUACUGUGGAAGAAUUGACAGAUUAGGGUUUUAAGGUCGAUCUGGGUAAUGAAGGAACCCCACCCUGCAUGUGAUAUCUAAUUCUGGAUUAUAAACUUGGAUGAGAGUUUGUGAUAUAGUUGGACUCUGAUUGGGUUAUUGGGGGAGUACUAGUUAUAAAUGGAUGGAGCAUUUGAAUUUGUUGAGCUGAUUACUUGUUGAAGGCCAAAAGCUCUAUGCCAUGAUGGGAAUUACUUGCAUCUUGCUUGAUUGACUAUGCUAAUUCCCUAGCCUCUUUGGGAUACAUAGCUUUCGUUUUCUUGACUAUAUUGCGUUCUACUUCUGCACCUAGCUACACACCGGUUUUAUUGCAUAAGGUUUUCCUUUCUUCGUCCACCCUUUAGUAGAUAAGAUGCACAUUAAAGCUUUACGAAUUUUGACUAUUUGAAUGAUGAAGAGUCGCGAACUUUUAUCUUUUUUAAAAACAAGAUAAAGAAGUAGAUUGUAAUGGUUUCUCAAUCAUUUUUGUUUUUAGUUUCUUUAAGACAGGUUCGUUGGACAACUUAUGUUUGACAUUUUGUGAGCGACAUUAUUAGUUUUUUCACUCAAUCUUAAGGCGUGAAUUGAACAAAUAUAAGUUCACAAUUUAAGAUGAAAUGAUGCGAGUAAAAGAGACAAAUAGAAUAAUAUGACUCAUAUAAGUGAAAAAGGAAUUGAAUUAUUACAAGCAAGUUAAGGCAUGAUCUCAUUAUUGAUGUUACCCAUAUAAGUGCAAGGAAUUGAAUUAUUACGAGUGAAGAUAUGAUCUCAUUAUAACCGAGAUUGUUUUAAUUACUCAAUUAGAUAACUAUAUAUAUUUUCUAACAAUUCAUCAAACACUUUAGCCUUAUGCCACUUAACGGCCCUGUCAUAAACUUUCUCAGCCAAUCUCCAUGGUGCUGAAGACCUGAGCUUAUCAAAGGAACCUUAUCAUGAACCAAAACAAGCACCAUCUUCACCGUAAAAGGGCCUGUACUAACCAUGCUCCGUUGCUCCUCUGACUUCUCUGAUGCCAAAACGGCGUUGUUGUCACAUUUCCCAGUUUUUGUUCUUUGGGUUUUCCUUGCCCUGUGACUCUACUAUGUGACAUACCUUGUCAGAUCCUAAAAUGUUUGGUACAAGUUAAACCCCCAAUCCCCCAUCACCAUGCAAAUCCAAGGACUCAGCAUUAAUUGAUAGCAACCAUUUCUCCCAACAGCUUCUGCAACCCCCAUAAUUUAUUGUCAUUUGCCCAUAAAUCUUGAAAAAAAAAAAAAAAAAAAAAAAAACAACCCACGCAAAAGGAUGAUACCUAAGAUCGUUCGUGUGAGUGACGUUAGUCUAUUUUCUCUUGAGCAUUCGUUUAUAACGCAAUUAUUACUCGAGUGAUAUUUUUCAAGUAUACACUACAGUGGAAUUGCUGAAUUGCUUGAGUACGGAGUUUGAAAGAAUUCAUCCUCAUUGUCUAAAAGAAAUAGGAAAUUUACACUUAUUUUUACAAUCUACAGUCCUUUCUUAUUUUGAUAACUUAACAUUUGUUUUUUUUUGUAAGAGAUUUUACCAAAAUAAAAAAUGUAGUGUGAAUGUAAAAUAAAAAGAAAUAAGGUUGAACGAAAUUGGUGUUUUACAUAAUGAAGUAUAGAUAUAUUAGAAAAACCUCCAAAUCCCAAAUUUUAAAUAUGUAUUUGUCAUGAAAAAAAACCCCAUUACAACUGUCAAAUCCUGGUCAACCAGCAUAAACAACAACAGAAAAUUAAAGGAAAUAAAAAUUUUAAACCUAUAAGAUUCCAAAAAGACCCUUUUUCUUCAUUUACUUUCUUCCCCAUCUUGA
rnacentral:lncRNA from 1 species